CCUGGAGGAAGGGGAACAGUGCACAAGUGACUGGUUUCCGCUGAGAUGAAUCUGGCUUCUUUCCUCUGGCUCUUUUGGAGUUUGCCUGCACUUGCAGCAUGUGUAGACAUUCCUGAGCUAGUUUUAAUCGAGCUAGUUCAGGUACCAAUAGUAAUGAAGCUGUGGCCGCACAGACUAGCUGCUGAAGCACAAACCCACUAGGGAGCCUGGGCUCAGGGUACUGAAGAGAUUAAGAAUGGUCUGGAUGUAAUUCUGCAUAUCCUGAUGAGACCUCUCCUUGAUGAGCCUGUGAUCCAAAUAUGGGUGUACUCAGAAUGGAUGAGGAAGGUCAUUGAUUAAAAUGUUAAAUAAUGUGGGGUCAAGAACCGAUCUCUGCAGGACCCCUCCCUGGAGGCAUGCUUGCUUGCUGGUUCACUGUUCGCUGUUCUUUUGAGACUUCUCAGUUAGCCAGUUUUUAAUCCAUUUAAUGUUUGCCAAUUAUCUGGACCUACUGAUUUAAAAAUAUCUAACUUUGGUAGCUUCUGUGUAACAUCCUCCAGAGCUACUAGUGGAAUGGAGAGUGUUAUCAGCAUCAUAUAAUGCGACUAUAUCAUCUGCUUUUUCUCCAAAUACAAAACAGAAACAUUUAUUGAA